rnacentral:antisense_RNA from 1 species
CUUCCCUGGUGUCUUUCCGCUUAUCUCUUUCCUCCCUGGGCUCUCCGGCGCGAGGGACCAUCAUCACUGCCCCGAGGGAGGUUGUCCGCGCUGCCAGGCGCUGGGCAGCGGGCUCUCCGGGUGGCCGGGCGGGCGGCGCGGAGACGUCGGCGGGCCCGGUGUCUGCCUUGAGCGCCCGCGGUCCUAGCCUGCCUAAUGGCACCAUUGUUGUGCAGAUGCUGAUGCCCAGUGUUGAGCCUGUCGUCUCCUACCUUAGGGGAAGUUCCCCUGGCCCUUCCCAACUACCUCCCCUGUGCAAGUUUAUUACAACUGAACGGCUUCAAGAAUGGAGUCUGUCUCUGUUGCCCAAGCUGGAGUGUGUUGGCACCAUCUUGGUUUACUGCAACUUCCACCUCCCAGGCUCAAGUGAUUCUCGUGCCUCAGCCUCAAGGGUAAGCUGAGAUUACAGGCUGGAGUGCAGUGGCAUGAUCUCACCUCACUGAAAACCUCCACCUCCAGGGUUCAAGUGAUUCUGCUACCUCAGCCUCCCAAAUAGCUGGGACUAUAGGAAAACAUUCUGCCUGUGUUGCAAUAUCCAGAAACUCCUAGAUAUACUGAUCAACAGCAGUUUGAAUGUUUUCCUGACCAGUGCCAUUGACAUAGUCCUGACUCACCAGAGAAGCAAAGCAAGCCUCAAAAGAUGACUCCAGCUCAUUCACCAGGUACUGUUAGAAGGUCUCAGAGUAUCUGGUGCUGCCUGAAGAAGUGAAGCCUGGCCCCGGAGCUCCAAUGUGGAUAGUGG